ACAGGGAGGGGGGCGGUGAACCUCCAGGCUGGGAGAUCGACUUCAUUUUUGUUGCUUCAACUUGUCCUGAACGGUUAGACGAGGCGCGCUCGCGCUCACACACACCACGGGGAGUCCAGCCCUCGCUGGCUCGCCUCCCUGGCUGGACCGGCCGGCUCAGCGCCUUGCGCGCCCUUGGCCUGCCCGAAGGCCCAGGCGUCAGAGGGCUCCGGCGCCUGCCUCCGCCGUGCGUGCUUGGGGCGGCCCUGGCCCCAGAAGGGCCACCAGCUGAAUUUUCCCGGACUAGAUGGUCUUGAGCAACUCGGAGGUGUUGGUGAUGGAUACACUUAUCUCUGUAUAAGGAGGCCUUGGCUGUGGGCCUGGCAAAAUGAUGGUCAGCGCACUCAUUCAGCAGAUGUUUGCGGAGCACCUGCUAUGUUCUAGAAUGCGGGCCUGAAUGAGACAGUCAAGACCUCUGCCAACAUGGACCUUAUAGUCUCGUCGGAGAGACAACCGAGAAACAGCAAGCUGCCUCAAAAAUAUACAUCUGCAAGACAUUACAAAGGUUGGAAGGAAAAGUACGCCCAGCACCCAUGGGUGAGACCUCCCAACAGGUCUCACCUUGAUGGAAGUUGCAAAGUAUGGAAUGGGGAGGCCAUGGGAGUUGCCCUUUGUGGCCUGCUUCAGGCCGAGGAAGACGAGGUCUCUGCACUCCUCCGAAGGUCUCUAAUUCCUUCUGAAGCUGUUUUAUAGGUCUGGUUGCUGUACAGUCACUUGGAUGAUAGGUGUGCAAUUAAAUUUUCAAGAUGGCGGAUGCAGUGGGUUAAACUUCAUUUCCCCCAAAGAUGCGUCCGAGUCCUAAACCCUGGUAGCUGCGAAUGAAACUCAUCGAAGGAUGAGAUCAUCCUGGGUUAGAGUGGGUCUUAAAUCCAAUGACUGGUGUCCUGGUAAGAGACAGAUCAUGAGGAGACACAGGGAGAAGGCCACGUGAAGAUGGAAGCAGAGCUUGGAGGGAAGCGGCCACCAACCUUGGAGUACCAGCAGGCGCUGGAAGCUGGAGGAGGCGGGGAAU